UAGAGUUUGAUCAUGGCUCAGGACGAACGCUGGCGGCGUGCUUAACACAUGCAAGUCGAACGAUGAAGCCGCUUCGGUGGUGGAUUAGUGGCGAACGGGUGAGUAACACGUGGGCAAUCUGCCCUGCACUCUGGGACAAGCCCUGGAAACGGGGUCUAAUACCGGAUAUGACCUGGUGAGGCAUCUCAUCGGGUGGAAAGCUCCGGCGGUGCAGGAUGAGCCCGCGGCCUAUCAGCUUGUUGGUGGGGUGAUGGCCUACCAAGGCGACGACGGGUAGCCGGCCUGAGAGGGCGACCGGCCACACUGGGACUGAGACACGGUCCAGACUCCUACGGGAGGCAGCAGUGGGGAAUCUUGCGCAAUGGACGAAAGUCUGACGCAGCCACGCCGCGUGAGUGAAGAAGGCCUUCGGGUUGUAAAGCUCUGUCGGAGGGGACGAAAAUACUUACGGUGAAUAGCCGUAGGAGUUGACGGUACCCUCAAAGGAAGUACCGGCUAACUUCGUGCCAGCAGCCGCGGUAAU
rnacentral:rRNA from 1 species